rnacentral:rRNA from 1 species
UACGUAGGGGGCAAGCGUUGUCCGGAUUUAUUGGGCGUAAAGAGCGUGUAGGCGGCCAUUCAGGUCAGCUGUGAAAACUCGAGGCUCAACCUCGAGACGUCGGUUGAAACCGUUUGGCUAGAGUCCGGAAGAGGAGAGUGGAAUUCCCGGUGUAGCGGUGAAAUGCGCAGAUAUCGGGAGGAACACCAGUGGCGAAGGCGGUGGCCUGGACCGAUGCUGACGCUGAGGCGCGAAAGCGUGGGGAGCGAGCCGG